rnacentral:tRNA from 1 species
CCCUGGUUAGCUCAGAUUGUAGAGCGCUCCACGGGAAAUUGUGAGGUCCCGGGUUCGGUUCCCGAACCAGGCG